CACCACCCUGCCUGGGACAUCCUCCCACACCUGGGCACUGCAGGCUGGCCCAUGCCCAAGAGGACUACCAGUGGCAGCACUGGGGGAUACUGCGAGGCAUGCACCGCACCCUCAACCACUGGGUGCACAAAGACCUGCAGCUCCGGCGGGAGAGCUGGCUUGAAUCUUUCCUAAAAUACUCAAUGGAAAUCUAUGCGGAGCAAUGACGUUUUCAUUUUGGUGCCGUGACUCGGAUGGCAACGCCCAAUUGAAGACAGUGACAGCGGCUGCAGACCAUCCCCCUUCGCCCCCAGGGUGCCAAACGAGAGGUAAGAGACCUUUUGAAAUCUCUACUGGGGUGUG